UGAGUUGUUGUUAUAUAAUAAUUUAAUUAUAUCUUUAUGAUGUGUUAUGAUUAUUCUCAGAUUUUACAGGGAGCACAAUGUUUAUCACAUACCCCAACACUGAUUUGCAAUUCAGGAGAACACAUGGGAAGAAUAUAUGAAAAAUAAAAAAGGAGAAACUAGACUAAAACACUGAAUUUGAAGGCUGAAAUAUUAACAUUAACAACUCAAUCCCCUAGAUGCUUAAUCUUUUUUGUUUCUGAUAUGCAGGCUUGAGGUUUAUAUUUUUUCUAUUAAAAAAAUGGUGGUUUCUAAGUCAAACUUGCACCAUUUUGAAUUUGAUUUGCUUUUGUCCCUAUGACAUUAUAGUUCAAACCAUGUGUGAUUGUGAUUGUGGAGCAGCCAUGGGUUGUAGACAUUUAACAGGUCCAACCAAAGAAAGUGCUUCCUUAAGAGCCAUUAAGAGAUGCUCUGGGUGAUCCUCAAUUGGAGCAGCUCCACCAUGUUGAGACUGCAUGGAUCUCAAUACCCUACCAACAAUCUGAAAAAAUGAUUAUCAUAAGUUAUGGUAGUGUUUGGGAUGCAGUUCGAACAUGAUAAACUAUUAUGCUGUCUUUGGUUCCACUACUUUUGGUACAACCAAAGUUUUUAAAUUCGAUGUUCUAUUCUGCUCUAUUCAUAAAAUACACCAACUAGAACAUAACAUAUUAUAUGUUUCGUUCUAUUCUGACAUGUUUACUAAAUGUUAUAAUAUAUGUUACCUUUCGUGCGUAGCCACCGUAAGCUAUACCUCCAAUUAAAGCAUGUGAUGAAUUAGAUGAGCUAAUUGUUGAAGUUUCACCAUCUGAGUACUCACAGAAAAAGUUAACUAAAAAUAAGGCUUAUAAUAUGAUGCAAUGACAGAAAAAUAGUGAGUAACAAGAGGAGAAACAAAGUAACAAAGUAAGCAACAUUACUAGCAAUAGAUGUUGUUUGAAAAAGUCCCUCUUUCUUCAAUCCAUCAAUUGUAUGAGCAUUAGUUCCACCAGCCAGUUGAAGAAAACCUAUAAUGUUAAGGGAGUGAAACAUUAAUAGAUAAACCUUGAAGGAUUUGAAGGACCAUAUGUUGAAUUGUGAAUACAAACCUGGAGGUCUUUCUUUUGCUUUAGCCAAUUGAACAGCGAAGGCAAUUGAUUCCUUUGUUGCUCCUCUCCCGAUAUCUCCACUCAUCGGACGGCCAUCCAACUUAAUUUUAUAUAUCAGAGAGUUGGAUUUGUUAUAAGAAACAUGAAAUAAAGUUUAGCUUCUGAAAAAAAAUUAAUUUUCAAACUAUUGGUUUGCAGAUUGGUGUCUGAAUCAAAACUCUGUAUUUCUUUAGCUACCAAAAAGAUCACCAGUUGAUAUUUCUUUGUAUUGGUUGAGCACCCCUUAUGCUCAGUUUAAUACAUUAUUUCUUUAUAAAAAAUUUGGUGGCUGAUAAAUGAUAAUUAGUGGAACUUUGGUUGACUUCAAUAGUAGGGAACGAAAGUAUGUUGAGCCAACAAAAUCAAUCCAGUACAGCUAUGGCCUCAAAGGUUGUUGCUGCCUUCACCUUUAAGUCAAAUUUAUUAUGGUGUCUUUGUUAUAAGGAUUGAAGAGGGGGUAAUAGACAAGAGCUUAAAUAAAUUGUAUGCAUUUUUAAGUUUUUUAUAGAUAAUUUUCAAGUAAGCACCCAUAUGGUCUAUGAAAUUGGAGAUAUCAUUUUUUAAACAUAUGCACGAUAAAACAUUAUAACAGUCUCCGAUCGAUGCAGCUAAUCUUACCUAAUCAGAUUAAAUAUGAGUUGUUGUUAUAUAAUAAUUUAAUUAUAUCUUUAUGAUGUGUUAUGAUUAUUCUCAGAUUUUACAGGGAGCACAAUGUUUAUCACAUACCCCAACACUGAUUUGCAAUUCAGGAGAACACAUGGGAAGAAUAUAUGAAAAAUAAAAAAGGAGAAACUAGACUAAAACACUGAAUUUGAAGGCUGAAAUAUUAACAUUAACAACUCAAUCCCCUAGAUGCUUAAUCUUUUUUGUUUCUGAUAUGCAGGCUUGAGGUUUAUAUUUUUUCUAUUAAAAAAAUGGUGGUUUCUAAGUCAAACUUGCACCAUUUUGAAUUUGAUUUGCUUUUGUCCCUAUGACAUUAUAGUUCAAACCAUGUGUGAUUGUGAUUGUGGAGCAGCCAUGGGUUGUAGACAUUUAACAGGUCCAACCAAAGAAAGUGCUUCCUUAAGAGCCAUUAAGAGAUGCUCUGGGUGAUCCUCAAUUGGAGCAGCUCCACCAUGUUGAGACUGCAUGGAUCUCAAUACCCUACCAACAAUCUGAAAAAAUGAUUAUCAUAAGUUAUGGUAGUGUUUGGGAUGCAGUUCGAACAUGAUAAACUAUUAUGCUGUCUUUGGUUCCACUACUUUUGGUACAACCAAAGUUUUUAAAUUCGAUGUUCUAUUCUGCUCUAUUCAUAAAAUACACCAACUAGAACAUAACAUAUUAUAUGUUUCGUUCUAUUCUGACAUGUUUACUAAAUGUUAUAAUAUAUGUU
rnacentral:lncRNA from 1 species